GUCUCUUUGGAGACAUUCGAUAAAAUUGAAAUGAUACAAAAAAAAAAAAAUUAACAUAGUCCCUGCGCAAGGAUGCCACGAACAAAUCAAGAAAUGGUCUGAUAUAAA